CGGGGGGAGCAAGCGUUGUUCGGAUUUACUGGGCGUAAAGGGCGCGUAGGCGGCCACCGCAAGUCGACUGUGAAAUCUCCGGGCUUAACCCGGAAAGGUCAGCCGAUACUGCGGGGCUAGAGUGCAGAAGGGGCAACUGGAAUUCUCGGUGUAGCGGUGAAAUGCGUAGAUAUCGAGAGGAACACCUGCGGCGAAGGCGGGUUGCUGGGCUGACACUGACGCUGAUGCGCGAAAGCUAGGGGAGCGAACGGGAUUAGAUACCCCGGUAGUCCUAGCCUUAAACGAUGAAUGCUUGGUGUCUGGGGUUUUAUAGUCCUCGGGUGCCGUCGCUAACGCUUUAAGCAUUCCGCCUGGGGAGUACGGUCGCAAGACUG
rnacentral:rRNA from 1 species